rnacentral:tRNA from 1 species
GGUAGGUUAGUUCAGUGGUAGAACGUUCGGCUCGUUACCCGAAUGGACGUAGGUUCGAGCCCUACACCUAUCU